UACGUAGGGCGCAAGCGUUGUCCGGAAUUAUUGGGCGUAAAGAGCUCGUAGGCGGUGUGUCACGUCGGCCGUGAAAACCUGGGGCUCAACUCUGGGCGUGCGGUCGAUACGGGCAUCACUUGAGUUCGGCAGGGGAGACUGGAAUUCCUGGUGUAGCGGUGAAAUGCGCAGAUAUCAGGAGGAACACCGGUGGCGAAGGCGGCUCACUGGCCCGGUACUGACGCUGAGGUGCGAAAGCGUGGGGAGCAAACAGG
rnacentral:rRNA from 1 species